AAUUUUGUAAAAAAAAAAAUCAAAAAUAAACACGAAGAGGUAGAAAAAGCCUCUGGUUUUUGCAUCCUCUUAUUGCAAUUCGAUCUCAUACUCACAAACAGGAGAAAAAAAAAGUGUGUUAAAAUGUGAGGGGCAUUUGAUUAAAAUGGGAUCUUGGCAGACUGUCCGGUUAUUUACCCCCAUUGCAUGCAUGGAGUCUACAGUUUCAUCUACUGGAAAGCUAAAAAGACCAGAGACCCUCCUUCUUCUGCUGCUGCUGUGCUCCAGGACCCCCACUCGUGCUAACAACAGCAGCAGCAGCAGGCUGCACUCAGCGCCCACGCAGGACGCCUCUGAGGGAAGACAGAGAACUCAGGAGGGAGCCCUCAUAACAACAGCACAUCACAGGGAGUCGAGAUGAAGAAAGAAGACGAAAUGAUCGUUUUUCGGCGUAGCAGGCGUGAUCGCUCCAGCUCCAUGGGCUCUGCGACAGGCUGGCGACCUGUCCAGGACGUAUCUAGCCUUCGCCAACAGUAACCGGGACAGUCUCCGACAACCUCGCAGGCCCAGCAGGUUAAGAAAAUGGAAGUUUAGGAUGAGAACCCUUGCAUCGAUCAGCCCACAUUGGAUAAUUAAUCUAAAGUGAUCGAGACACUGAAGACAUCACAUGCCGUGUCUGAUGCCGAAAUCGACGCUCAAAUAGCGCUGCUGCCGGACUGACGCACCACACCCGACACGUGCUCUGGUCACAUUUAUAAGCAUUGAAACUUGAUGCUCCUGAUGCGCAAAUUGUAUCUGGUGUGAAUGCAUUAGGCUUUUCAUACGUUUUACUUUUAUUAACACGAGUUACCACUUUAUGCAACCAGUACAUACUUCAGUGCUUUUCCACUGAAAAACAAAGCUAUAAAUCAUAUUGCUAGCAAGAGCAGGGGAGACUGGCACUGACCAGACCAUAGAUGUUGUAAAGAUUACCAUUCUAGAUAUUAGGGCCUAUGAGGGCCUUCUUCUGCUCUACCAGAGAUUAACCUAAAGCCCUCACGGAGAACACCCCUGUAUGUAUAUCUGUUGUGUGCAUUUUACUGGACGUUGUUUUUAUCAUGGCGACAGCCCAGAACUUUUUGUACAACUUUGAUCCAACUUUCCAUUAAAAGGACUAAAUUCCUA